rnacentral:rRNA from 1 species
GACGAACGCUGGCGGCGUGCCUAAUACAUGCAAGUCGAGCGGUCCCUUCGGGGAUAGCGGCGGACGGGUGAGUAACACGUAGGCAACCUGACUGUAAGACCGGAAUAACUAUCGGCAACGAUAGCUAAGACCGGAUAGCUGGGUUUAUCGCAUGAGAGAAUCAUGAAACACGGGGCAACCUGUGGCAUACAGAUGGGCCUGCGGCGCAUUAGCUCGUUGGUAGGGGAACGGCCUACCAAGGCGACGAUGCGUAGCCGACCUGAGAGGGUGACCGGCCACACUGGGACUGAGACACGGCCCAGACUCCUACGGGAGGCAGCAGUAGGGAACCUUCCGCAAUGGACGCAAGUCUGACGGAGCAACGCCGCGUGAGUGAUGAAGGUCUUCGGAUCGUAAAGCUCUGUUGCCCUAGACGAACAGCAAGGAGAGUAACUGCUCUUUGUGUGACGGUAUAGGAGAAGAAAGCCCCGGCUAACUACGUGCCAGCCGCCGCCGUAA